rnacentral:miRNA from 1 species
ACACACACACACACACAUAUAUAUAUAUAUAUAUAUAUAUAUAUAUAUAUAUAUAUAUAUAUAUAUAUGCAUAGGUAUAUGUCUGUGUGUGCCUGUGUGUGUGUA